rnacentral:snoRNA from 1 species
UGCAGCCAUGUCAAAUUCAGUGUUGUCCUACCAUGGCAAGCACUGGCCCAGAGGCUGCCAUAGAAACUGUCAUUUUGGACCCUGUUCUCAGCCCUGUGCUUGGGGUCAGGGAUGAAUGUGGUCACAGACAACA